rnacentral:rRNA from 1 species
UCCUACGGGAGGCAGCAGUCGAGAAUCUUCGGCAAUGGGCGUAAGCCUGACCGAGCGACGCCGCGUGGAGGACGAAGGCCUUCGGGUUGUAAACUCCUGUCGAGGGGGAGGAAGGCGCAAGCUUGACCGAUCCCUGGAGGAAGCACGGGCUAAGUUCGUGCCAGCAGCCGCGGUAAGACGAACCGUGCGAACGUUAUUCGGAAUCACUGGGCUUAAAGCGCGUGUAGGCGGAUGGGAGCGUCGGCCUCUGAAAUCCCCCGGCUCAACCGGGGAAGUGGAGCCGAAACGACCCGUCUGGAGGGACGUAGGGGGACCUGGAACUUCCGGUGGAGCGGUGAAAUGCGUUGAGAUCGGAAGGAACGCCCGUGGCGAAAGCGAGGUCCUGGACGUCUGCUGACGCUGAGACGCGAAAGCCAGGGGAGCGAACGGGAUUAGAUACCCCGGUAGUCCUGGCCGUAAACGAUGGGCACUGGGUAGGGGACCCUUCCGAUGGGUUCCCUGCCGUAGCGAAAGCGUAAAGUGCCCCGCCUGGGGAGUAUGGUCGCAAGGCUGAAACUCAAAUGAAUUGACGGA